GACGAACGCUGGCGGCGUGCCUAACACAUGCAAGUCGAACGGAAAGGCCCUGCUUUUGUGGGGUGCUCGAGUGGCGAACGGGUGAGUAACACGUGAGUAACCUGCCAUUGACUUUGGGAUAACUUCAGGAAACUGGGGCUAAUACCGGAUAGGAGCUCCUGCUGCAGGGUGGGGGUUGGAAAGUUUCGGCGGUUGGGGAUGGACUAGCGGCUUAUCAGCUUGUUGGUGGGGUAGUGGCUUACCAAGGCUUUGACGGGUAGCCGGCCUGAGAGGGUGACCGGCCACAUUGGGACUGAGAUACGGCCCAGACUCCUACGGGAGGCAGCAGUGGGGAAUAUUGCACAAUGGGCGGAAGCCUGAUGCAGCAACGCCGCGUGCGGGAUGACGGCAUUCGGUUUGUAAUCCGCUUUCGCCUGUGACGAAGCGUGAGUGACGGUAAUGGGUAAAGAAGCACCGGCUAACUACGUG
rnacentral:rRNA from 1 species